rnacentral:rRNA from 1 species
GUAUCAAUAAGGCGAGGAACAGAAACCAACAGGGAUUCCCCCAGUAGUGGCGAAUGAAGCGGGAAAAGCUCAAGUUUGAAAUCUGGCGCAUGUCAGAGUUGUAAGCUGAAGAGGUUUCGACCGAUGUGGCUCGGGCUCAAUUUCCUUGGGAUAGGAAGUCAUGGAGGGUGAGAACCCCGUUCGUGGCUCGCAAGCCUUCAUCCUUGUGUCGUGUCCUCGAAGAGUCGGGUUGUUUGGGAAUGCAGCUCAAAAUAGGUGGUAAUUACUAUCUAAAGCUAAAUAUUGGCGAGACCGAUAGCGCACAAGUA